AGAAUUGUGUAAAUUUAAAAUAACUCCAUCCAUUCCAAUGGAUUUCUGGGGAGCCACUCCAGAUUUACACCUAUCUAAGUGAGACUAUCAUUUGGCCCUCAUUGUAAACAAUUCUGGGAACAUAAUUAAGUGAUCAAAGUUGGAAUCUGUCAGAAAAUGAAUUUAUCAAUUCUAAGCUUUCAGUCAAGGCAAAGCAGUUCCCAUCAGAAAUCCAAGUCAUUGGUCAGAUAGCCCAGAGGUAUUAGUCUUGUCAGUAGAGUUAAAAGAAAAAAAUAUAAUUUCUUCUGCUGCUGAUGAUGAUUAAAAAAAACAAAAAACCUUUGAGAGUUGCUAAUGUUCAAAGGUUCCCGUGAGUCAAAGGUUCUUGUUUUUCUUCCAGCACUGACUGCUUUGCUUUAGUAAGAACAGACUUGAGUAAGAUUUUUCUCAGGAAGGAGGUGGUUCAGAUAAAAUGAACCUGCUAUGUGUGUUACAGAACAGUAUUUAUCCCACUCUGCCUUAAACCUCCAAAACAACAAAAAUGGUACUUUCUCUGCAAUGCUCUAGCUGCAAGGAAAGACAUUGCUAUAUUACGGCUCAAAAAGGAAAGCUCUACAAUGGAGAUGUGAUUAAACAAUACAGCACAACCUGAAUCACAGCCCCAAAAUAGAUAUAAAGAAUGUUGGGUUGCACUGCCGCUGAUACGACACACCUGUGAGGCCUGCUCUGGCCAACCACAAGAAGAGGACACACCUGCCCACAAGAAGUCAAGAAAACACAGGAUAACAAUCAAACCAAGCAUAAAGCAAUAUUUGGCAGUUUUUUAAUGCAACUCGAUGGGAAGCUGCAAUACAACAUUAUCUGCACUCAUGGGAAGCCAAUAAAGCAGCAGCAGGCCAGGCCCUAUGCCCAGAAUUCCAAGAUGGCACCAUUUAGAGGUGUCUGAUACAGAUGGGUCCAAACUUCCCUUACAGAGCCAAAUGUUGAACCCAGCAAAGG